rnacentral:rRNA from 1 species
GAUGAACGCUGGCGGCGUGCCUAAUACAUGCAAGUCGAGCGAACGGACGAGAAGCUUGCUUCUCUGAUGUUAGCGGCGGACGGGUGAGUAACACGUGGAUAACCUACCUAUAAGACUGGGAUAACUUCGGGAAACCGGAGCUAAUACCGGAUAAUAUUUUGAACCGCAUGGUUCAAAAGUGAAAGGCGGUCUUGCUGUCACUUAUAGAUGGAUCCGCGCUGCAUUAGCUAGUUGGUAAGGUAACGGCUUACCAAGGCAACGAUGCAUAGCCGACCUGAGAGGGGGAGAGGACAAACUGGAACUGAGAGAAGGUCAAGAGGACUAAGGGAGGCAGCAGUAGGGAAUAUUACGCAAUGGGCGAAAGCCUGAAGGAGCAACGCAGAGGGAGGGAUGAAGGUCUUCGGAGCGUAAAACUUUGUGAUUAGGGAAGAAAAAAUGUGUAAGUAAAUAUGCACGUCUUGACGGUAACUAAUAAGAAAGCAAGGGAUAACUACGUG